GGAAGGAGAAGUCGUAACAAGGUUACCGUAGGUGAACCUGCAGUAGGAUCAUUG
rnacentral:rRNA from 1 species